rnacentral:rRNA from 1 species
GACGAAAGCUGGCGGCGUGCUUAACACAUGCAAGUCGAACGAUGAAGCCGGAGCUUGCUCCGGUGGAUCAGUGGCGAACGGGUGAGUAACACGUGAGCAAUCUGCCCUUGACUCUGGGAUAACUGCGGGAAACUGUAGCUAAUACCGGAUACGACACCUUGGGGCAUCCCAGGGUGUGGAAAGAAUUUCGGUCAAGGAUGAGCUCGCGGCCUAUCAGCUAGUUGGUGAGGUAAUGGCUCACCAAGGCGACGACGGGUAGCGGGCCUAAGAGGGUGAGCGGCCACACUGGAACGGAGACACGGUCCAGGAUCCUACGGGGGGCAGCAUUGGGGAAUAUUGCAAAAUGGGCGAAAGCCUGAUGCAGCAACGCCGCGUGAGGGAUGAAUGCCUUCGGUUUGUAAACCUCUUUUAGCAGGGAAGAAGCGAAGGUGACGGUACCUGCAGAAAAAGCACCGGCUAACUACGUGCCAGCAGCCGCCGUAA